UUGUGGAUCGCAAGCAUGAGGGGGAAUUUUCUAGAGAGGAUCUUUCAGUAGAACAGCGCUGCAAGCAUGACGAAGUCGAGCUGGUCCAGCGGAAAAGGAGCGUACACUGUUUUGAAAAUCUGUCAAAUCUGGACGACGUAGAGAGGCGGUAUGAGAAGAAAAAUGGGAGCGUAUCACGAGACGCUACAUG